rnacentral:rRNA from 1 species
UACGGAGGAUGCAAGCGUUAUCCGGAAUGAUUGGGCGUAAAGCGUCCGCAGGUGGCAAUGUAAGUCUGCUGUCAAAGCGUCUGGCUCAACCAGAUAAAGGCAGUGGAAACUACAUAGCUAGAGUAAGGUAGGGGUAGAGGGAAUUCCUGGUGUGGCGGUGAAAUGCGUAGAGAUCAGGAAGAACACCGGUGGCGAAAGCGCUCUGCUAGGCCGCAACUGACACUCAUGGACGAAAGCGUGGGGAGCAAACAGG